CCAGUGUCUGGCAACCAGCAAGCAUCCAGUACAGCUUCCCAAUUCCUGGUGUUUGGGGAGAGCUGGGUUGAGCUGGGCCCGUUCUCUUGGCGAGCUGGGAACUUGAUGGAGGAAGCGGGGGAGGGGGCACAGAAGCCGCAGGUGAGCCUUACUAGUGUCGGCAGAGGGGUGACCAGCUGCUUUUCUCCUUCAGGACUUCCUGAGCAGAUACCCAGUCACCAAGCACUCCUGGGUGGGGGCCCGGCGAGGCCCCCAGGGCUGGCAGUGGAUCGACGGGGCCCCGCUAUCGCCCCAGCUACUCCCAGAGGAAGAGGAGGACCAGCCAGAUCUCAAGUGCGGGGGCCUGGAGGGAGGCAAGCUGGUGGCUUUGGACUGUGCCUCUCCAAGACCAUGGGUCUGUGCCAAGGGGACCAAGUGACUUGGGUUCUGCCCGUCCUGAGACUUGGGGGGCAUGCAGCUCCCCCAGGGGAAGCCAGGUUGCUAGCUGGGGUAGCCUCUUCCCUGGACCAAGACUUCCGGGUCUCCCUGCUCUGUGCUCAAGGGACCCUUUCUGGGCCAACCGGGGCCUGGACUUCCGGCUCAGGCAGAUCGCAUCCAAGGGAAAGGAGGAUUUCUGCGGCCCUGGGCUGACCGUCCAGCUUCUGAAACGGAUUUGUUUGGUUACCUUGGGGUGUUUUUUUUGAGCAUUUUUGAGUCUAGGUUUCUCCCUCAUUAAAAUGGCCAUUUCCCAUCCUCUCCCCUCACCUGCUUAAUCACACCUGCACACCCGCUCAGCCUUAGAGGACCAGGAGGCCUCUGCAAUCGCAGGUGCUUCCCAGCGGUUCUCACCUGAGCGCAGGGACCGAGCCUGCGCUGUGAUGCGGGGCGAUCAGCACCGCUGUGAAUGCCGCGGCCGGGCACGAGGCCGACACUGCCGACAGACAGCGUCUGGAGGACAGCACGUAAGAAGUGGUCGCCCACGGAGGAGGGAAGUGGAGGGUUUCCUUCCCGGCCCCAAGCUGGCAGAGGGUAGGGUUCACGGUGCACAGCACUGGCGGGGCUUCUGAGCAGCUGAUGCCCGAGGCUGGGAAGAUGCAGAGGACAGGACCCCCGACCCCGGGCCCUGGGCUGGAGAACCAGGGAACUGAAAAGCAUAGGGUGUGAGUGAGAAAGGAAAUCAGAAUUGUGGGGAGGUUUGAGGCAGCUCUUACACCUACAAGUGUGGGGACACCAGCCUGGAGAUGUCUGUGUUGGGGUUCAGUGAGGGGCCUUCAGGCCAGAGGGAGGGGCCGCUGCGGGGGGCGGAAGGACUGGUUUAGUCUCUGCAGCCUGUCCAGACCUCUGUGCCCGUGGCAGGAGACUGCACCUUAACCUUAUCUUGGUGCCGAGCACUGGACACAGCUGUCCUGGCCAAACCGACCGUCCCCUGCACAGGCAGCCUGCGCGUUCAGCUUCCUCUCAAACGGAAACCUUUACUGGUCCAUUCACACCAACAGCUGGUACAGCAUGCACGGGCCAGCUGGCAGAAAGGGGCAGGGUCCUAAGAGCGCUAUAAAAAUCUUAGAAACACUCUGGUGUUUCCCAUGGCUUUCUUAUUCCAACUACAGUUUAUUCCCGGAGCUUGAUAACAGGUUCCAUUCACACCUCGGAGCCCUACUCAGCAAGGUCUUGAGCCUGGCUCGUCAGGCUGGUUUGACACUGGCAGCCCUCCAGCUGCUCCCAGCUCAGGACCAGGGACCACAGGUGGGGGACAUCCGGGGCACAGGUGGCCAGGGCGUGGUGAUUGGUGCCAGAGCCUGGACAUUUAAAAGUGUUUAAGCUUCACGUGGUGAGGAAGAAGAAGAGUGAACUUUUGAUCUACUGUCCUAAGAAGCUACUAGUUCCUGUCCAAAGUAGGCAGACCAAGAAAUAGCAGUGUAAGCACAUUAUUUAGAAAUUUGGAAGGAUGCCUGGGUGGCUCAGUAGGUCAGCAUCCGACUCUUGGUUUUGGCUCAGGUCGUGAUUUCAGGGUCGUGAGAUCGAGCCCCGCUUCAGGGUUUGUACUCAAGUGUGAUGAUUCUCUUUUCCUCUUCCUCUUCCUCUGCCCCUCCCCCCCAAUUGAAUAAAUAAAAUCUUUAAACCA
ensembl:lncRNA